rnacentral:tRNA from 1 species
GGGGGUGUCACUCCGUGGUAGAGUGCUCGCUUUUGCAUGCGAGAAGGCAUGGGUUCAAUCCCCAUCAUCUCCA